AGCCAAUCAGGAUGGUUUCAAUCCUGGAGCCAUCUAAGGAUAGUUUUUUCCCGGUAAUGACCAAGAUAGUGGGAACUUUAGGUCCAAGGUCUCGAUCUGUUGAUGUUAUUUCUGGUUGUCUUAAAGCUGGAAUGUCUGUGGCUAGGUUCGAUUUCUCGUGGCAUGAUCCGAAGUGUCAUCAGGAAACUUUAGAAAAUUUAAAGGCCGCCGUUAAGCUAACUAAAAAGCUUUGUGCCGU